AAAACGACUCUCGGCAACGGAUAUCUCGGCUCUCGCAUCGAUGAAAAACGUAGCGAAAUGCGAUACUUGGUGUGAAUUGCAAAAUCCCGUGAACCAUCGAGUCUUUGAACGCAAGUUGCGCCCCAAGCCGUUAGGCCGAGGGCACGCCUGCCUGGGUGUCACGC
rnacentral:rRNA from 2 species